rnacentral:rRNA from 1 species
UACGUAGGGUGCAAGCGUUAAUCGGAAUUACUGGGCGUAAAGCGCGCGUAGGCGGUUAGGUAAGUCGAUUGUGAAAUCCCCGGGCUCAACCUGGGAAUUGCAGUCGAGACUGUCUGACUAGAGUGUGGGAGAGGGUGGUGGAAUUCCCGGUGUAGCGGUGAAAUGCGUAGAGAUCGGGAGGAACACCAGCGGCGAAGGCGGCGACCUGGACAGGUACUGACACUCAACUACGAAAGCGUGGGGCGCAAACAGG